AGCGAACGCUGGCGGCAGGCCUAACACAUGCAAGUCGAACGAAGCCUUCGGGCUUAGUGGCGGACGGGUGAGUAACACGUGGGAACGUACCUUUUGGUUCGGAACAACUCAGGGAAACUUGAGCUAAUACCGGAUGAGCCCUUAGGGGGAAAGAUUUAUCGCCGAAAGAGCGGCCCGCGUUAGAUUAGCUAGUUGGUGAGGUAAAGGCUCACCAAGGCUACGAUCUAUAGCUGGUCUGAGAGGAUGAUCAGCCACACUGGGACUGAGACACGGCCCAGACUCCUACGGGAGGCAGCAGUGGGGAAUCUUGCGCAAUGGGCGAAAGCCUGACGCAGCCAUGCCGCGUGAAUGAUGAAGGUCUUAGGAUUGUAAAGCUCUUUCACCGAUGAAGAUAAUGACGGUAGUCGGAGAAGAAGCCCCGGCUAACUUCGUGCCAGCCGCCGCAGUAAGAC
rnacentral:rRNA from 1 species